ensembl:lncRNA
AUGGUCGCGGUGGCACGGGUCAUACUUGGGUCACCAGGGGAUUCAGUUAGACAACAGAAGGCCAGAGCAGGGAGAGCGGGCGAGCAAGGAGAGGCUGUCCCUCAGCCCCGCCCGCCAAUGACCUUCACGGGUUGGGGUUUCCCUGAGGCAUCUGCAGGACAGGACGAGGGCGCGGGCGGCAGGGCCCGUACUUCCGUGCCUGGGAGCGCGCGCGGAACUCGAGACUUUCCCGGACAAGGGGCGCAGAGGCAGCGGCUUCCCGGGCUGCGGGCCGGCGCCUUCCGGGGCCGUCCCUGCACGACUGUCGGGAGGGAGGGGGUGGGGGAGUGGUUGGGGCCCGGUGCAGACCCCGCCUCCUGGGACCCUCUGCCCACCCGCCUCCCUACCGAGCCCGAUUCCACCGCCGCCGCCGACUUCCUUCUGCUCUCGGGGUCCCGCUGGGUGUCCAGAGGGCGUCGGACUCACACGGACCACCUAGGCCCACGCGAUGGAGCCUCCAGGCCCCCGCGGCGAGGGGCUCCCGGGCAGUGCGGGGGUGCUGCGGCUGUUCGUCACCUUUCGGGGCCCCGCAGUUGCCCGCUUCCCCAGUGCACAAAUCCGGUCUCCUCCUACUGCCCGUGGCCCUGUCACUGGAGGUGUCCGUGGGAAAGGCCACCACCAUUUACGCCGUCAACGGCACGGAGAUCCUGCUGCCUUGCACCUUCUCCAGUUGCUUCGGCUUUGAGAACCUCCGCUUCUGGUGGUCCUACAACACCAGUGACACCUACAAGAAGGUAAGGAGGACAGGGCGGCCGCCCCCACCAGCCGCCUCCCCGCGGUGAGGGCCACGCCUCCUGCCACCCUUUCUCCAGGGUCAGGACCAGCCAGAGUGGGAGGGGUGCUUGGAAUGUCUUGUGGGGAUUUGGGAUCUGUUGGGAUUCUUGGCUGGAGUCCUAGGGUCCUAAACAGUCCCUGGAAAUCGGGAUGCUUAGGUAAAAAUUAGUAGUCUGAUUUCACAAACGCCAGCCAGGUCUGCCCUGACAGGGGCGGUGUGGGGGGGAUGGGCGGGCCAGCAGGUGGUACUGGGGCCCUGGUCAGGGAGCCACAGUGGCUGCCCCUGGGCAUCACUAAACGCUGACCUCGGCGGGUGCUGAUGGACAGAGCCGUGGGAGUGACCCAGCUGUCCUGAUAUAAAAGGCUCGCAGGAAGACAGCAGUGGGGGCUCCGCGUUCCAGGAACAUCUCACAAAAGGAAAUGGCCGGCUGGCGCUGUGGCUCACUUGGCUAAUCCUCUGCCUGUGGCACUGGCACCCCGGGUCCUAGUCCCGGUUGGGGCGCCGGUUCUGUCCUGGUUGCUCCUCUUCCAGUCCAGCUCUCUGCUGUGGCCUGGGAAGGCAGUGGAGGAUGGCCCAAGUGCUUGGGCCCUGUACCCGCAUGGGAGACCAGGAGGAAGCACCUGGCUCCUGGCUUCGGAUCGGUGCAGCACACCGGCCUAAGCAUGCCGACUGUAGCGGCCAUUUAGGGGGUGAACCAACGGCAAAGGAAGACCUUUCUCUCUGUCUCUCUCUCUCACUGUCUAACUCUGCCUGUCAAAAAAAAUUUAAAAAUUAAAAAAAAAUUAAAAAAAGGAGAUGGCUUGAGAGUGAAACAUGCCAAGUUCAGGUUCCCUGCAGCCUGCAGGUUGGAGGAGCACCUGGGCCGGCAGGUGCUUCCUGCACGUGGACAAGGGCGGUGCCAGGAGGCCGGGAUGAAGUCACCGCUCUCGGUGACCCUGAGUCUUUUGUGGGGCGUCUUCUCUGCCCUGCUCGCCCCUCCUCCUCAGCUCAUCGAAGGGAUUGUGAAGAACGAGAAGUCGGACCCCAAGGUGAAGCUGCGGGACAACGACCGUGUGUCCCUGGAGGGCACCACCAAGGAGAAGAUGAACAACAUCUCCAUCCUGCUGCGGAGCCUGGAGUUCAGCGACACGGGCAAGUACACCUGCCACGUGAAGAACCCCAAGGAGAAGGACUUGGAGCACCAGGCCACCAUCUUCCUCCAAGUCGUCGAUAAACGUAGGCCAGGGGCUGGGCCGGGGCAGGUGCACCCGUGGCUGCUUCUCUUUCUCUUUGCACUUUCACGAGUUACUGCCGCUGCACCUGGACGCUAGCAUUCCGCGUGAACGCUUACCCCGCCGCUGAGAUGGGGACAUGGCUGCAUUCCCCUGGGGUGGCUGCGAGGGUUGAGAAGCCACCUGGGCAUGUUUUGUGACUAGCAAAGCUCCCUGUCUCUCUCAAUGGCGGUCACUGCUACUCCUGUGGCUUCUGCUAGCAAAGGUGGGUUGAAGGCCAGGGAUUGUGCUAGAAAGUGCUAGGAGUGACACGGGGUGGGGAGGGGGGUUGUGGGGAGACAGGUACAGAGGGGACUGCAGCAGGGCCAGGGCAGGACAGAUCCACUGGUGGAGGCAGAGACAGCAGGGGUGGAAUCAGACACGCUGCCCUCCCCUCCAGGGAUGUCUGUCCUGCUGUCGGGGGUUCCAGUCUGCCUGGCCAGCGCUGGAGAAGCUGGGCGGGGCCUCUCGGAGCCCCAGGAAGCAAGGGAGCAGAGGGGAAGGGAACCUGGGCGGGAACCCCAGUCGGAGGCCUCGAGUGUUCCUGGGCCUUCACACCUGCUGGGUGAUGGGGUGCACCUGCAGAAAGAGAAGCUGGGAGUUCAGUUUUGCCUGUGCCGAGGGCAGAGCCAGAGGCCAGUGGGGCAGCUUCUCCUGAAUCAGCUCUGUGUGUGGCGGCCCCUCUGCUCCCUGUCUGGGCUCCUGUCACCCUGCUUUGUGCCCGGCCCUGUAGGAGGGACAGGAACUGACACGUAGGGUGCUGGCGGUCUCCUUCCCCUCAGCUCCUCUGCUUCGCGCACAGUCCUGGGAGGAGCCUCCCGCUCCGUGGUUGUAGGCGUUCAUCCGUAGAAGUCAGCAGCACACACAUGCCGGGGACCAGCUCCGCACAGCCCUGGUCCAGGGUGCUGAGGGCACCUUCCUGCUCUCCUGCACAUGCCGAACUUCCCCCCACCUGGGAAGACAGACCAUAAAACAGCAAGAAGAGAACUAUACCAGACAUGAGGCAUGAUUAGUGUUAUGGAGAAACAAAUGGAGCAGGGGAGGGAGAUGGGGCGUUAGCAGGGUGGCUUGGCAAGGCCUCUCUGGACAAAGGUGAAGUUGUGACCUUUGAAGAAGGCAAGAGAGGAAAUUGGGAAGCUGCCUUUGGGAUGGCAGGUCCUGUGCAAAGGCCCUGGGGCAGAUUCUCAAAGAGAAGAAUCUGCCCCAAGGUUGUGAGGUGUGAGGGUGGCUGGGGCAGGACUAGUAUUAAGAAGUGGCUCAGACUGAGCCAGAUUGUGUGGGGCUCUGCACGUGUGAGUGACACGGAGCCACUGAAGGACUCUGAGGGGGAUGGAAGCUCAUGGAAAAUGGCUCUCACCAGGUGUGGGCCAGGGUGGCUGUGAUUGAUCAGAUUCCGGAACUAAAACAGAAACCAAGCACGCUAGGGUAGUGUUGUAGUGCAGUAGGUCAGCUGCUACUUGCAGCACCGGCAUCCCAUGUUGAAGCAGAGCGCUGGUCCACAUCCUGGCUGCUCCACUUCUGGUCCAGCUUCCUGCUCAUGUGCCUGGGAAGGCAGCAGCAGAUGGCUCCAGUGCUCAGAGCCCUGCUACUCACAUGGGAACCUGGGUGGUGCUCCGGGCUCCUGGCUUCAGCCUGGCUCAGCCCUGGCUGUUGCAGCCAUUUGGGCGGUGAACUGACAGGUGGAAGGUCUCUCUCUCUCUAUCUCACCUUCUCUAUCACUCUGCCUUUUAAAGAAAUGAAAUAAAUCUUUUAAAAAAUGGAGAGCA